UCCCAAACCCCUGUGAACAUACCACUUGUUGCCUCGGCGGAUCAGCCCGCUCCCGGUAAAACGGGACGGCCCGCCAGAGGACCCCUAAACUCUGUUUCUAUAUGUAACUUCUGAGUAAAACCAUAAAUAAAUCA
rnacentral:misc_RNA from 1 species